GAUGAACGCUAGCGGCAGGCCUAAUACAUGCAAGUCGAACGAGAUUGAGGAGCUUGCUCUUCAUGAAAGUGGCGCACGGGUGCGUAACGCGUAUGCAACCUACCUUAAUCAGGGGGAUAGCCUCUCGAAAGAGAGAUUAACACCGCAUAACAUUAUUAUAUGGCAUCAUAUGAUAAUCAAAUAUUUAUAGGAUUAAGAUGGGCAUGCGUGACAUUAGUUAGUUGGCGGGGUAACGGCCCACCAAGACGAUGAUGUCUAGGGGAUCUGAGAGGAUGACCCCCCACACUGGUACUGAGACACGGACCAGACUCCUACGGGAGGCAGCAGUAAGGAAUAUUGGUCAAUGGGCGCAAGCCUGAACCAGCCAUGCCGCGUGCAGGAAGACGGCCCUACGGGUUGUAAACUGCUUUUAUACUGGAAUAAACCUACUUACGUGUAAGUAGCUGAAUGUACAGUAAGAAUAAGGAUCGGCUAACUCCGUGCCAGCCGCCGCUGUAACAC
rnacentral:rRNA from 1 species